GGGCUGGGGCUCAGUGGUACAGCGCUUGCCUUGCACAUAUGAGGUACUGGGUUCAAUCCUCAGCACCACA
rnacentral:tRNA from 1 species